CCGUUACAGCAGAGGUGGAGAGAAAAGCAUAUUUAAAAUCAGGUGGAAAAUAAGAGGUACAAAGGAAGAUAGAGUUUGUUCUGCAACUGGCUUCACUGGUCUGUUCUAGGAGUCACCCAAGUCUCCCUGUCUCAGGCUGAAUUCUUGGGGGAUUCCAUGCCAGCAUACCUCCAUAGAGAUAAAAGAGAAGAUCUAUUAUUGCCAUGAGUGUGGACCAGAAUAUCAAAGCACUUUCAGAUGCGCAGGAUAACCAAGGCAGUUGCACGUGAUUUGCUACAUUUCUGGAAAUAUGGAUAAACAGUAAUAAAACCGUUAUCCCAGAGAAAAACA
rnacentral:lncRNA from 1 species